ACAGCCAGAAAGGCCACACCCAUCAGCAGAAGCCCUGGGACACGGCUCCGCCAGGCAGCACUGCUUCCCAACCAGCCUCUCCUGUCAGCUGGAUACCUAUGACCACGCUGUGAUGUGAGUACAGUCAGCCCCAUGUUAACAAUGAAGGGGACUCCAGUGUUCCAGCUGCUCAUCUCACCCACGGUCAAACGGGGAAGGUCUCCUAACUGUACAAAUAAACGUUUUCUUGCCA